AGCAAAACUUCGGUAUUGGAUUGCCACAUAUAAUGAAGAGUGCGAAAUUUUUACAAUAGAUGGCAAAGUAGUGAUAAAUUGACUGAAAUGAUAGUGAUAAAGCAGUAGCAGUGGAAGAGUAGUAUUCUGCCAACCAUGUAGAAAGCAAUUAGCUGUUGAGAGGAAGUCGCAACUUGAACAGCAUGUGAUGACAGGUACGUGGAACAUUAUUAUUAUUAGUUUAAUUCAUUCAUUCCCCAACUUAGGUAGGCUAAUUCCUUUUGCAAAAACAUACUAUAAAAAGGUAAUAUUCAACCGAAUUCUUGGUUUCGGUUUCGGCCAAUACUGGCCCAAAAUACGAGUUUCGGUUUUGGUGAAACGAGAACCAAAACUGAAAGUACAUGAGUGUCUAUUCUUGUUUUCGACGGUGCAUUUUUUAUAUUGCCG
rnacentral:lncRNA from 1 species